rnacentral:rRNA from 1 species
UCGACUAGCAUGCGAGUCAGGUGUCUUCGGACGCCGGCGUACGGCUCAGUAACACGUAGGUAACCUACCCUCAGGACUGAGAUAACCCCGGGAAACUGGGGCUAAUAUUAGAUAGAUAAAAGAUACUGGAAUGUUCUUUUAUCCAAAGCUUUUGCGCCUGAGGAUGGGCCUGCGUCCGAUUAGGUUGUUGGUGGGGUAAUGGCCCACCAAGCCUGCAAUCGGUACGGGCGGGGGGAGCUGAAGCCCGGAGUUGGGAACUGAGACAAGGCCCCAGGCCCUACGGGGCGCAGCAGGGGCGAAACCUCUGCAAUGCGGGAAACCGUGACAGGGGGAUCCCAAGUGCUCAUGCAUUGCUGGGGCUGUUCUUUGGCCUAAGUACCCAGAGGAG